rnacentral:tRNA from 1 species
UCCCUGGUGGCUCAGAUGGUAAAGUGUCUGCCUACAAUGCAGGAGACCCAGGUUCGGUCCCUGGGUUGGGAA